UUUGUGGUGGCCUAAUGGAUAAGGCGUCUGACUUUGGAUCAGAAGCUGGCAGGUUUAAGUCCCUUCAUGG